CUGCAUCCACUGAAGCCCAGACCUGCUGCCUGCAGGACCUCACCCAGGCACCAGGUCGUGCCUGGCGCCUCCUUGAUGCCAGGCCCUGGGGAGACCUGUGGCCACAGAACCCAUGUUCUCCCUGGAGAUGGACAGGAGGCCCCUCUCCUACGCAGAAGCUGUCGUUUUUUCUUCUUAAACACCGUUUGCCCCUCCCUCCACCCACCGAGCCAUCUCUGCCCCUCUCUACAGCAAAGCUUCCGCCAAGCCGGCCCUGCUCCCUGUCUACCUCUCCUGCCACCACCCACUCACACGUUUUAAAUACAAGCCGUCGGUUCUCA
rnacentral:lncRNA from 1 species